rnacentral:rRNA from 1 species
GACGUAGGGCGCGAGCGUUGUCCGGAUUUAUUGGGCGUAAAGAGCUCGUAGGCGGCUUGUUGCGUCGACUGUGAAAACCCGCGGCUUAACUGCGGGCUUGCAGUUGAUACGGGCAGGCUAGAGUUCGGUAGGGGAGACUGGAAUUCCUGGUGUAGCGGUGAAAUGCGCAGAUAUCAGGAGGAACACCGGUGGCGAAGGCGGAUCUCUGGGCCAUUACUGACGCUGAGGAGCGAAAGCGUGGGGAGCGAACAGG